UGUCCAUCAAGCAAUUGAACUUCAUUAAAAAAUUAAUGCAAAUGUAAUAAUUAAAUCUACUCCAUAAAAUAUCAAAAAAUACGAUAAAUGUUACUUCAUUUGGUUGCGAUGAAUUGUACAAUAUUAUAUGGGAGGAAGGAAGAAAGAAAUUAAAUAUAUUGUCCAUUGUAAUUCCAGUUUUGCCUCUUAUUACAUACUAAACCUGGUCCGAAAGAAUGCAAAUAGUAACUUAAAUUUAAUGGUUUACAUAAACAAAAAAUAAAAAAAAUUGAUGGAUCCCAGACAUGCCGUAUAUGCUUUUAAUUGUGUAAGCCAUUUUGAUGUGAAUGGCCUUCUCCGGGACUCGGACCAGAGUUCUUGACGCUAACCUGAAAAGCCUUGAACGCUUCAAUGUUCCUUUGGAUGGGACGUGGCAGAGUUUCAUCGUCUUGCAAAUGAUUUUGAUUAUUGAGUGGUCGCGCUAGAACAUGUGUAAAAAUCAAGAAAAAUGUUAAGAGAAGUUGGGCAUAAUUUGGCUGUUUAGCCAUGAAUAUAGAAAUGAGAAUUAUAAGUUUG
rnacentral:lncRNA from 1 species